CCGGGAUUGCCUUAGUAACGGCGAGUGAAGCGGCAAAAGCUCAAAUUUGAAAUCUGGUACCUUCGGUGCCCGAGUUGUAAUUUGGAGAGGGCAACUUUGGGGCCGUUCCUUGUCUAUGUUCCUUGGAACAGGACGUCAUAGAGGGUGAGAAUCCCGUGUGGCGAGGAGUGCGGUUCUUUGUAAAGUGCCUUCGAAGAGUCGAGUUGUUUGGGAAUGCAGCUAUAAGUGGGUGGUAAAUUCCAUCUAAAGCUAAAUAUUGGCGAGAGACCGAUAGCGAACAAGUACAGUGAUGGAAAGAUGAAAAGAACUUUGAAAAGAGAGUGAAAAAGUACGUGAAAUUGUUGAAAGGGAAGGGCAUUUGAUCAGACAUGGUGUUUUGUGCCCUCUGCUCCUUGUGGGUAGGGGAAUCUCGCAUUUCACUGGGCCAGCAUCAGUUUUGGUGGCAGGAUAAAUCCAUAGGAAUGUAGCUUGCCUCGGUAAGUAUUAUAGCCUGUGGGAAUACUGCCAGCUGGGACUGAGGACUGCGACGUAAGUCAAGGAUGCUGGCAUAAUGGUUAUAUGCC
rnacentral:rRNA from 1 species